UUUAUAAUGCUCUUGUCAAAGUCUUUUCUCAAAACCAUACAAUUAUUUUGUUUAGAGUUGUGACACUUGGACUAUUCACCAAGACUUGAAUAAUAUGCCUGCAUACAAAUAAUGCAUUGAAAACAGUUACAGAGACUUCAUAGAAGAAAAAUAUCUUGCACUAAUAUACCCAUUAAAGUGUCGCUUUUUAGGGGAUCUCAAUAUAUCACACCAAAGUCAGCAAAAAUGCUGCCAAGCCCCUCUUGAGAGUCAGCACAGUUCCUUGGCUAAAUGGUGUAUAAAGCGCAAAAAAAAUGCGUGAAAGAAAAAGGUUAUCUAUUUAAGCAUACUAGCUGGCAACGGAGAAUAGAAAAACUUAAAACUUACUCCCUCACCUUCCUGCUUUGGCCAAACAGUCAUACUCCCCUUGUGUUUGCUGUGAUAUUCAUUUGAUUCCUGGAAGAGCUGAUUCAGCUCACUAAAUCAGCAGAAAAACAUCCCGGGCACAAAACAAACACGUGACUAGAGCUCAGACUCAACCAAAAAUAUUUCUAGUAAAAAUUGUGUUGAAUGGAACCCAUGUUUUGGACUAAGCACAACUUCCUGAGAGUGUCUGCUUUCUGCAGAACAUUUCAGGUUUGUCAAAAAUGAAGACUGUCUUCAAGUCAAAUGACAGAAAUUCAAAGAAAAUAUGGAAAUAGGCAGAAGGGAUGGAAUAUCACACUCUUCUGCCCAGCUCUUCUAUGAAAGUUCUCCUUCUCUUGUCUCCCAGAACCCACAGAUGAAAAGUCUCCAGGUUGCAAAGGCUGUUACGGCAGAGCACGGGAAUGAGCAGAACUAUAUAGAAAAUCCAAAAGGACACAAACUCUAAACAAACCCACAGAACAUUGCUAUCAACACCUCAUCUGCUGAGUGAGAUAUCCCUUUCCACUUUCUGCGGAGGCUGUUUCCCUGAAAGAAAGAAGGCCUACAGGGGAUCUUGUCUCUGACAGUGAAUAGCAUUGGACACUUCCCAAGAAGGGGCCAAAAGGGAACAAAUGAAGUUAUAGACCGGCCUCUGAGCUCAGAGUCGCAGAAUUUUUAACAAGAGCUCUUUGUGACACAUCCAAGCCAGUAACCAGCAGCCAUGAGAACUUGUUGGCUCCUUCCCUGCAUGAUCUCAUUUCUGGGCCAGAAGGUACAGCUAAGCAGCACCAGAUGGCCACUGGAGGCUAUCCAGACAUUCAUCAAGGUAGCUUCACCCAAUCCCCAACAGGAAACCAGGCGUUUACUCUGGAGGAGAAAAAGGCAGAAUCGGGAAGGAUGAAUGCUAACAUGAAGGGCCGCUACAAGAAAGGCCAACCAGCCUACAUCAAAAAGGGCUGCCUUUGCCUAAUGUUAGUCAUACUAACUUAAUUUCAGUUAUAAAACUAAAAAGUUCCUAGUUAGUCUCCCCUAGAUCUUACCCCCUCAGCAAAUGGCACCUGAUUGCAAACACAUCAGUCAGUCCAAAAUAACUUCCUAUUGAAAUAUGCCUGAACUGCACUUUACAUCUACAUUUUGUACAGUUCAGAUGAUAGCACUCUGAUAACAGUCUCUGCUGCAGCAUCAGUUUGUACUAACACUUUGGAAGGUUCAAGACAUGAAACAAAUUUUGCAAGAUUUUAUGUACAUGUAAUUAUAGUGCCCUCAAAUAUUUGUUAAACUGUGGCCAUUUCUGAUGAUAUGUGGAAGACACUGCAUGUGCUUUUUACUGCUGUACUGUACCAAAACCUUUAGGAAAUGUUUCAGCAGAAAGAAUGUGCAAACUGACAAGGAACUCUGCUAGAAGAGCAGGUCUCUUUUUCCUAGUGCUCUGUAUGCACCCUAUUGAAUGGCUCAGCAUCACAAUUACACACAGUUUAUCGCUUUGAGGAAAGAUAAAUUACAAGCAAAACCAUUUACAGAAUUCAAGUUAACUCAUUUAUGUCUAUGUCACGUGUGUUUGUGCUGCUUUGUAGCUAUUUAUGUGACUGAAAUGCAAACAGAAUUUCUAGGAAAAUAUUUUCAAAUUAAGGGAAGAAGCCUAUUAAUUAAUACUUCCUAAUUAAAACUUCUUCUAUAGAAAAACAGUUGUUUCUAGAAAAGAAGCCCUGACACAGAAUAUCCAUAUAAGAAUAGAAAUUGUAGUUGUGCACAUAAUACUUUACAAGUAUUAAGGCCAGUAAGGCAGAAAUUGUUUUCUAUAAGCCAGUGACGGACAUUAAAAAUUCAGUGCUCAGUGCACACAGUUACCCAGUGGAAUAUAAGAUAGAACAGUUAUUUCUAAAAGCAAAGGAAAAACACAAUGUCUAUUAUCAUUUCUCAAAAGGAUACUACAAAAAUGCCUUUCUACAUGCUCCUGUACGUCCAGUAGCAAUCCAUUACUUAAAUUUUGUAGCAAAACCUGACAAUUUAUACUUUUGGUUAACAAACACUGAUUGAAUUUCCUUUAGGACAUUACAAUUGCUCAUCUUUUCAGAUUGAUAAUUGUAAAAGAAACAACACCUGCAAAUCCUUGCAAAAAUAAAGAUUAAUUAGAUGGUUAUGGGUAAAGAUUACUAGUGUGGAAAUCACAAGUUAUGUUACAUAUUUAUUAAUUUCUAAAUGCCUUCUUUGCAUUAUUGCAUUUUAGUUUUUGUAUUUUGAAGUGUGCCUCUUUUAUGCAGUAUUUCCUUAUUUUCCCCGAUACGCCUUUUCCGCUGAAGAUGAUGAGCUACGUACUCAAACCAGCACCUCAGCACCAGGUCUCCUGCCACCAGUUAUAGCAAAAAAUUCUGCAGGCCAGGAGAGCAGGGCCAGUGCUAAAGCUCCCUGCAGCAUUGAUGUCCUUCCAGACAGCACUUCCAAGGCUAUCCCUGUAGGGAUUGCACGUGUUGCUCUCCUGGAAGAGCAAAAAGCUAAGCCACUGCUGUAUGUUUCUUCUACGAAAGGAAUCUAUAAUUACUGCCUUUGUUUAAGCUAUGGAGAAUAGAGUAAUAUUUUUAGUAGGAAUCCUGGGAAUUUUAGGAAGUGUCUGUGUUUUUCACUUACAAGCAGAGGGAAAGAGGGUUGGGAAUUAAUUUCUGUAAAUUCACAUGUGCCAGAUGAUAUUGAAAAAGCAGGAAAAUCAAGACGAUUCAACACCUUUAUAUACCCUGUCUAUACACAUCUUUAUAGUAGCAUAGAGGUAGUAGAAAAGUCCAGACACAGGUCUUUCCAGUGCACUAGACAAGAGUAUCCAAGACCCCAGCAUCAGCUCAGUGCUGGACUCCUCCCUGCCAGAACCCAAAUGCACCAGACCUGCCUGAUGGACAGAACACACUGCAUCCUGCGCAUCGUGAGCCCAUUAACAGGCCCACUGCUACAGGCUGGCACAUGCCAGGUAAAAUACCUGGCAGUUUUGGUGUGGAAGAAAGAGUAUUGCGUGAGAAGCAGAAAGUCUGGAAGCCAGUAGGGCUUUCAACCACGUAAUGGAUGAAAGGGCUGAUAAAAGCUGCCACGUUCACUGCAAAGAGCGUAAAGCCCUGGCACGGGAGUGGAUUGCACAUCUCAAUAUGCAGGGCUUGGCAAAUCCUGGCAAGAAAGUUAAUAACUCACUGAAGAAAACCAGAAAAAAGAUCAGUGUUAGAACUAAACUCCAAAGAUUUAUCCAUGAAGAAAGUUGCAGGCAGCAAAGCCACCACUUCCAGUGCAGCAGGCAGAUGUUUUAUUACACACCUUUAAAAUCUCUGCUUUUGUCAAUUGGCAGCUUUGGCUUCCAUGCCAAAUUCACCCCAAAAGCAACAGUCAGUCAGUAUCCACCCCACAAGACACUCAUAUACAGGAAAGAAGAGACAGUAAAGAAAUACACUUUCACUCAGGAAGUUUAGAGAAGUGGCAGAAAGCAAAAAAUAAUCAAGUAAAAGAUCCUAUUUUGUAGAACAUUCUUCAUUUUUGUAUGUAUUCAGGAGCUCAAAUCUGUGCAUUGUGGACGAAAAUAUCCUGUACAUGAGCUUUGGAACUGACCUCACACAUUGUGAUGCAGAGCUGCAUUUUGGUAGUCCUGGCUGAAAAAGAUGAAAGUCUAAGGGAAAAUAAUCAGUACAUUUGAAAACACUUAUCAAACUGGAUUUACAUUUGUGCUAUA